rnacentral:rRNA from 1 species
AAAACUCAAAGAAAUUGACGGGGGCCCGCACAAGCGGAGGAGCAUGUGGCUUAAUUCUAUGCAACGCGAAGAACCUUACCAGGGCUUGACAUGCAGCUGCACGCCCCUGAAAGGGGGAAGCCUUCGAGGGUGCUGCACAGGUGCUGCAUGGCUGUCGUCAGUUCGUGCCGUGAGGUGUUGGGUUAAGUCCCGCAACGAACGCAACCCUUGUGUUUAGUUGCCACCGCAGGUGAUGAGCCUGCGAGCACUCUAAACAGACUGCCCGUACAAGCGGGAGGAAGGUGGGGACGACGUCAAGUCAGUAUGGCCCUUACGCCCUGGGCUGCACACGUGCUACAAUGGUCGGUACAAAGGGACGCAAUACCGCGAGGUGGAGCAAAUCCCUAAAACCGGCCUCAGUUCGGAUUGGAGUCUGCAACUCGACUCCAUGAAGUUGGAUUCGCUAGUAACGGCGCAUCAGCUACGGCGCCGUGAAUACGUUCCCGGGCCUUGUACACACCGCCCGUCACAUCAUGAAAGCCGUCUGCACCCGAAGUCGCUGAGCCAACCCGCAAGGGGGGCAAGUGCCGAAGGUGUGGUGGGUGAUUGGGAUGAAGUCGUAACAAGGUAACCGUA